rnacentral:rRNA from 1 species
AGCGAACGUUGGCGGCAGGCCUAACACAUGCAAGUCGAACGGAUCCUUCGGGAUUAGUGGCGGACGGGUGAGUAACACGUGGGAACGUGCCCUUUGGUUCGGAACAACUCAGGGAAACUUGAGCUAAUACCGGAUGUGCCCUUCGGGGGAAAGAUUUAUCGCCAUUGGAGCGGCCCGCGUCUGAUUAGCUAGUUGGUGAGGUAACGGCCCACCAAGGCGACGAUCAGUAGCUGGUCUGAGAGGAUGAUCAGCCACACUGGGACUGAGACACGGCCCAGACUCCUACGGGAGGCAGCAGUGGGGAAUCUUGCGCAAUGGGCGAAAGCCUGACGCAGCCAUGCCGCGUGAAUGAUGAAGGUCUUAGGAUUGUAAAAUUCUUUCAGCGGGGACGAUAAUGACGGUACCCGCAGAAGAAGCUCCGGCUAACUUCGUG